rnacentral:rRNA from 1 species
AGGACUAACGCUGGCGGCGUGCCUAACACAUGCAAGUCGAACGAACGUAGCAAUACGUUAGUGGCAGACGGGUGAGUAACGCGUAGUCAACCUACCUCUUAGUGGGGGAUAACUAAUCGAAAGGUUAGCUAAUACCGCAUACGAUCGUCGAGUGGCAUCACUUGACGAUGAAAGCAGCAAUGCGCCGAGAGACGGGACUGCGUCCCAUUAGUUAGUUGGUGGGGUAAUGGCCUACCAAGACUCCGAUGGGUAGCUGGCUUGAGAGAGCGACCAGCCACACUGGAACUGAGACACGGUCCAGACUCCUACGGGAGGCAGCAGUGAGGAAUUUUCCGCAAUGGGGGCAACCCUGACGGAGCGACGCCGUGUGUGGGAAGAAGGCCUUCGGGUCGUAACCACUGUCGAAGGGGACGAUAUUGACGGUACCCUUGGAGGAAGCCCCGGCUAACUACGUGCCAGCAGCCGC